rfam:Hypholoma sublateritium FD-334 SS-4 unplaced genomic scaffold scaffold_155, whole genome shotgun sequence.
GCCCGCCUAGCUCAAUCGGAUAGAGCGUCAGACUUUUACGAAGGCGGGUUGAUAUCUGUUGAUUGAUGAAAUCUGAAGGCUGCGAGUUCGACCCUCGCGGUGGGCU